AGCGAACGCUGGCGGCAGGCUUAACACAUGCAAGUCGAGCGGGCAUCCUUGUGGUGUCAGCGGCAGACGGGUGAGUAACGCGUGGGAACGUGCCCUUCGGUUCGGAAUAACUCAGGGAAACUUGAGCUAAUACCGGAUACGUGCGAGAGCAGAAAGGUUUAUCUGCCGAAGGAUCGGCCCGCGUCUGAUUAGCUAGUUGGUGAGGUUACGGCUCACCAAGGCGACGAUCAGUAGCUGGUCUGAGAGGAUGAUCAGCCACACUGGGACUGAGACACGGCCCAGACUCCUACGGGAGGCCGCAGUGGGGAAUAUUGGACGAUGGGGGCAACCCUGAUCCAGCCAUGCCGCGUGAGUGAUGACGGCCUUAGGGUUGUAAAGCUCUUUUCUCCGGGACGAUAAUGACGGUACCGGAGGAAUAAGCCCCGGCUAACUUCGUG
rnacentral:rRNA from 1 species